rnacentral:lncRNA from 1 species
GGUCAAUUCCAGUCCCCUUGUUAAACAUGAACUAAUUCACCCCGAAGAGAAAUGUUACACGUGUAAGCAGUGCGGAAAGGCAUUCAGAUACUCCUCAUCCCUCCAGAACCAUGAAAGAAUCCAUAGCGGGGAGAGGCCAUAUGUAUGUAAGCAGUGUGGAAAAGCCUUCAUUCGUUCCUACGACCUUCUUAUCCAUGAAAGAAUUCACAGUGGAGAAAAACCUUACACAUGUGAGCAUUGUGGGAAAUCUUUCACCCAUUAUAGCGGCUGGUACAGUCACGAAAGGAUUCACACCAGAGAGAAGCCCUAUGUGUGCACACAGUGCGGGAAAGCCUUUUCCUGUUCCACGUCUUUUCGGAGGCACGAAAGGAUUCACACUGGAGAGAAACCUUAUCUAUGUAAGCACUGUGGGAAGGCCUUCACCCAUUCCAGUGCUCGUUACAUUCAUGAGAGGAUUCACACCGGAGAGAAACCCUAUGUUUGUAAGCAUUGUGGA